GUGGGGAAUAUUGGACAAUGGGCGCAAGCCUGAUCCAGCAAUGCCGCGUGAGUGAUGAAGGCCUUAGGGUUGUAAAGCUCUUUCGCCCGCGACGAUGAUGACGGUAGCGGGAGAAGAAGCCCCGGCUAACUUCGUGCCAGCAGCCGCGGUAAUACGAAGGGGGCGAGCGUUGUUCGGAUUUACUGGGCGUAAAGGGCGCGUAGGCGGCGGGUCAAGUCGAGUGUGAAAGCCCCGGGCUCAACCUGGGAAUUGCGCUCGAGACUGAUUUGCUGGAGUUCGGGAGAGGAGCGUGGAAUUCCCAGUGUAGAGGUGAAAUUCGUAGAUAUUGGGAAGAACACCGGUGGCGAAGGCGGCGCUCUGGACCGAGACUGACGCUGAGGCGCGAAGGCGUGGGGAGCAAACAGGAUUAGAUACCCGUGUAGUCC
rnacentral:rRNA from 1 species